UGAACGAAGAAGUGCUACGAAAACCAGUCCAAAAAUAGAACUCGUGUCUCUUGUUCUGUUCUGACACAGCCGUUAAUAAUUUGGACUUUCACCACUACCAAUGGAGAAGAAGAUCACCCUUGUUCAGACCGUUGCCACCGCCGGCGUCUUCUCCGCCAUUUCUUUCUGGUAUGGAUUCAUGUUUGGCAGAGAAUCCUCUCGCAAAGAACUCUCUCAUCUAAUCGAAGAACUCCGUAGCGGUAAUCCACCACCUCCUCCUCAUUCUUGAACCUCGAUGAAUUCGCUGCGCCGUCUAGAGUAGCUUCAUUCACUAUGUCAUUUAUUGUAUUGCUUUCAAUUUGUUACUAUGUAGCGUAUAUGAGUUCAAAUUUAAACAAUUUUGUAACUAGUGUUGAUUCUAUAGCCUCAGAUGCAAUUCUCUACUUUCUUUGUAACCUUUUGUUUUUUAUACUUGAGAUGCUGAGUUCGAUUGCCCGUUGUAAAAUGAUCAUUAGUGUCACUUUCAGUAAUCAAAGUUUGUUGUUCAACA